CGCAGCGCCCCAGUCGCCGCUCCUGCCCCCUUAGUCCCGUCCGGCCUCCGCGUGUGGCUCCUGCAUCCUCCCCUCAACCCCGGGAGACCGCCGCGGCCCACAGCCUCCCGCCCGGCCGCCGCCAACAGUUCCAUGGCUUGCUGACACAUUCUUUCCUUACACAUGUCAAAAUCAUCAAACGACUUAUAGACAAGACUUGCCAGUGGAAGGCGUUAUGUUUCGUGAAGGCCUUUGGAGUGGGUUGAACAGUGCCCUCCACCCCCACAAAAGAUAUGUCCACCUAGAACCUGCGAAUGCGAUAUUAUUUGGAAAAAGAGUCUUUGCAGCUGUAGUUAGGGAUCUGGAGAUGAAAUCCAGUCAGAUUUUCCAACUGGGCCCUAAAUCUAAUGAUGAGCAUCCUUAUAGGAAGAGGACAUGGCACACAAGAAGAAGGUAGUGAUGUGAAGACCCAGACAGAGAUGGGAACGAUGCAUUUACUAGCCAAAGAACACAAGGAUUGCCAGCAGCCACCAGGAGCUAGAAAAAAGGCAUGGAAUGGAUUGACCCUCAGUGCUUUCAGAAGGAACCAAUCCUGUUGACACCUUGAUUUAGGACUUCUGGCCUCCAGACUGUGAGAGAAUAAUUUUCUGUUGUAAGCCACCCAGCUUGUGGUCAUGUGUUGCAGCAGCCCUAAGAAAUGAAUAAAGUCAACCCUGUCUCUACUAAAAGUACAAAAAUUAGCCAGACAUGGUGGCGCACAUCUGUAAUCCCAGCUACUCUGGAGACUGAGGAACAAGAAUCGCUUGAACCCGGGAGGCGGAGGUUGCCGUGAACCGA